GAGCCUUUUCCAUGGGACCUUCACAGGGGCCUGCGCACCUUUGCGAGCCUGGGCUGGAGCUGAAGCCUGGGCCUUAGUUGGAGCUGUGUGGCCUCUGCCUUGGUUCGAACCUUGGGCUUUGGUUGGCAGAGCCUUUGACCCUUGGCCAUGUAGCUUCGAACCUUCUUCCCAAGCCUGGGGUCUAAAUUCAAAUUGAUGAAGAGCAGCAGCUAAGCCCUAUACAGACAAAAGCCUCUGGAGGGCUCACUCUAUAAGAGUUAAGAAAGUCACCAUCCUCAUGUGGUCUAAGAACUGCUGCCGUACUGGAUCAUAACACCCACAAGAGACUGCAUGUCGUCAUACUCUCCCGGCCUGGCUGCUGGUCCAUGACAAGGAUGUGGCAGCCAUCAUCUACGGAACACACCAAGCAGUGUGUCUGGGUACGAGCAGUGUAGAACUUGUCAACAGCUCCACACAGCUCCAGUUCCAUGCAGAAAGCAGGGCUGCUCACCGCCAGUUCCAGUGUGCACUUGAAGACUGACGGGAAAGCUGGAUUGUGUUGCUUCUUGGAGCGGAAGCUGAUGAGGAAGCCACCGAUUAACAGUCAAUAUGUGUGCCUAUCUGCUGUCAUCUCAUCUCACUGUGCUGUCAUGGCCACAGAACUGUCAGCUGCCCCACAUCUACCUUACCCACCACGUUAUCUUCUCUUGACGCCCUCCCUGAACUCCAUCUGGCCCCUUCCUCAUCACAAUAACCCCUUGUUUACUUUCAUGCUUGUUUGUGAAUCUAUACCUCUUUCACAUAUGAGAUCAACAAUACCAGUGUCUCUGGCUUAUUUGACUUCUCAGGAUGAUCUUUAGUGGGGCAAUAUUCUCAAAGAUAGGUGGCAUGGCCUCCUAUUCCUUCCUCUUGUCACCUUUAUUGGUGAAGUGCAUAUUGACAGGAAACUGCAAUAUGAGAAAGAAGCCCGAUAAAACAAAAUGAGAAAGAAGGAGCCUGGGCCCUCAGUAACUAAAGAACCGUCAUGCUUGUCGGUUGGAUGGCUUCACUCUGGCACCUAAAUGCUCAAGGGGGCAAUGAAAUCAAACUUGUUAAGCUGCAAUUAUACAGCUGUUCUGUCCUCAUAGCUGAACUUAGUACUGACUGAUUUAAGUUAGCACUUCAUUCACAGACAGAGGUGUCUUUAGAUCUCAAAUUUGUAUGAUCCCAUUAGAAAUAUAGACAAUGUAAUAAGUACUUAAUGUUUAUAUACUCCAAUUAAAUUUUAGGUAUAUUGGGUUUUAUGGUCUUCACAAUCACCUCUAUAAAAAUAUUACUUUUAAUUCUAUCUGCUUGUUGAUUUAACUAUAAACAAAUAAAAUCUUG
rnacentral:lncRNA from 1 species